rnacentral:rRNA from 1 species
AUUGAACGCUGGCGGCAUGCCUUACACAUGCAAGUCGAACGGCAGCACGGGAGCAAUCCUGGUGGCGAGUGGCGAACGGGUGAGUAAUAUAUCGGAACGUGCCCAGUAGUGGGGGGAUAGCCCGGCGAAAGCCGGAUUAAUACCGCAUACGACCUGUGGGUGAAAGCGGGGGGAUCGCAAGACCUCGCGCUAUUGGAGCGGCCGAUAUCAGAUUAGCUAGUUGGUGGGGUAAAGGCCUACCAAGGCGACGAUCUGUAGCUGGUCUGAGAGGACGACCAGCCACACUGGGACUGAGACACGGCCCAGACUCCUACGGGAGGCAGCAGUGGGAAUUUUGGACAAUGGGGCGCAAGCCUGAUCCAGCCAUGCCGCGUGUGGGAA